CUAAAAAUGAAACAGUGUUUGUAUUUAUCAGUAGAAGAGUUUUCUUUUGCUGGCCAAUCUCUUGAUGCCAGGAGAAAAUACCUUUUCCUUCUCACUACUAGAGCCAGCUUGUUAAUUCAUUGAAAUGGUUAUUUUAUCCCCCAAAAGACUGAUUGUCUGAAGAUCAAUUUGACAGUAAAAAUGGGGUUUAUUUAGGCUGCAGCUUUAUCAGUGCAUCUCAGACUAUCCAAGGAUAAUUUACUCAGAACAGGUCAUGUUUGCAGCGUACUUGUACCUUAUAGAGACAAACUGAUUUUAAUCUGAGAAUGAAAUUAUUCUGAUCCCUUUUUCCUAGCAAUGGUGACCUUCAUAUGAGAGAUACCCCAGCUGAAGUUUGGGGAAUGUCUUCUCAUUUUAUUGGAUAUCAAGAGCUCCAGCCUUUUUGUACUUUUAUUUAAGUAAGAUAAGAGAGUAAGAUAAACUGCUAAUCUGUGUAAUUAGCAACUCCAGAUAAUAAGAUCUUCUACUGAAUUGCCUGCACUGGAUGUGUGCCAAGUUACAACAGCAUAAAUUCCACAACAUAAUCAUUACGUUGCUGAGAGAUAAGUCAAAACAAAAAAAGGCCUUUUAAGGCCUAAUCUGCCAUUAAGAGAGAAGUUCCUUCUCGGUUGUAGAAGUGAAGCACAUAAUGCCCACAGCAAAGCCCACAACCCAGGUUUGUUAUCCCAGGGGGGAAAGGGGGCGUGUAAAGAUAACUUUUUCCUGUGUCAGGUUAGGCUGUUUGUCAACCCCAUCUUUGGUGUUCAAGAGUCGAUAUAUUUACACUGUGCCUUUCCACCACAUAGGCCAGAGGACGCACAUGCCCCUCAGGCCCACCAGGUGCGUAACUACCUACCUUCAUGGGCGGAGGGUUCCCCUUCCUCCUGCUGGCUACGGGAGUCAUUCUCACCCUUGCUGCUGGGCGAAAGGAUGAAUGGACAGAGGCUCUUCCAUAUUUUAAAGACGAAUAAUUUUACCAGCGCAAGCUCAUAAAUGCAGCUGCAGAUGCCCAAGCUGUUUAUGCAGGAGGAAAGAAUCAUUAUCCACACUUCACAAGUCGGAAGCUGAGGCAGAAAGUGUUGUGGGAACAACAUGCCAAAAUCACCCAAGAAGAAAUGCCAGAAGAGGAGACCUGUCUUCAAAGUCUGUUUGAUACACUGGCCAUUAUCAAUCAGAAAUAACUCUUUAGUUUAUGGAGAGGAAAAAUGAGUACUCUGGGAGCAUUCUUAAACCCCAAAGC